CAGAGGAUAGUUUAUGUAAAAUAUUAAUUUUGGGGAUUAAUGAUGAGUAUUAUUUUUCUUUUCUCUGA
rnacentral:tRNA from 1 species